ensembl:misc_RNA 7SK 7SK RNA
GGAUGUGAGGGCAGUCUAGCUAUGACAUCUGUCACACUACUGAUCACCAGGGUUGAUUAGGCUGAUACGGCUGGCUACACGGAUGUGGCCUUCCUUCCUCUAUGCUCCAUGUGUGUCCCUACUGAAGCUGCAUACUGGGUUGCAGAGGAUGAACAUCCCUGAUAGAAGAGGACCAUUUCCUUGGUCAUGGAUAUAUAAGAACCAGCAUUCUCUCCUAGAGCCUCCAAACAAAAAAGCUGGGCAAGAUAAGAUGGCUCAUGACUGUAAUCUCAGCACUUUGGAAAG